rnacentral:rRNA from 1 species
AACGCGAAGAACCUUACCAGCUUUUGACAUGUCCCGUAUGAGUACCAGAGAUGGAACUCUUCAGUUCGGCUGGCGGGAACACAGGUGCUGCAUGGCUGUCGUCAGCUCGUGUCGUGAGAUGUUGGGUUAAGUCCCGCAACGAGCGCAACCCUCGCCCUUAGUUGCCAUCAUUUAGUUGGGCACUCUAAGGGGACUGCCGGUGAUAAGCCGCGAGGAAGGUGGGGAUGACGUCAAGUCCUCAUGGCCCUUACAGGCUGGGCUACACACGUGCUACAAUGGCGGUGACAAUGGGAUGCAAUGGGGAGACCCUGCGCAAAUCUCAAAAAGCCGUCUCAGUUCGGAUUGUGCUCUGCAACUCGAGCACAUGAAGUUGGAAUCGCUAGUAAUCGCAGAUCAGCACGCUGCGGUGAAUACGUUCCCGGGCCUUGUA